AUGUUGGGCUACCUAAUAAGCUUGACCCAGGCUUGGCUGAAAAAAGUGUUUGUCUUCGUAACUAAAACCAACAUCGCCAAGGGAGUCGAUGCAUCGGAAUACUUUUCCGUCAGCGAAAUCAGCGAGGAGCCGAUGUUGAAAGAGCCCUUCGACGAGCAACACGACGAUGAGUACUGGGAGCAUUACGCCAGAAUCCGCCAGGAGCUUCUCAGCCGCGUGCUUUUCCCUAUUCGAAGAGGUAAAACUCUCGAAGAACAAUUUUCAGCCGAUAGCGACGAAGAAGAAUGGUCCGAUGACAGCUGGGAGUUUGCAUACAACUGCAAGUAAAUUACUGGGUUAA